UCAGGACGAACGCUGGCGGCGUGCCUAAUACAUGCAAGUCGAGCGCAUCGAUGGGAGCUUGCUCCCUGAAGUGAGCGGCGGAUGGGUGAGUAACACGUGGGUAACCUGCCUGUCAGAUCGGGAUAACUGUGGGAAACCGCAGCUAAUACCGGAUAAUCCUUCGCACCGCAUGGUGCGGAGUUGAAAGAUGGUUUCGGCCAUCACUGACAGAUGGGCCCGCGGUGCAUUAGUUAGUUGGCGGGGUAACGGCCCACCAAGACAGCGAUGCAUAGCCGACCUGAGAGGGUGAUCGGCCACAUUGGGACUGAGACACGGCCCAAACUCCUACGGGAGGCAGCAGUAGGGAAUCUUCCACAAUGGACGAAAGUCUGAUGGAGCAACGCCGCGUGAGCGAAGAAGGUUUUCGGAUCGUAAAGCUCUGUUGCUGGAGAAGAACGAGUGCGAGAGGAAAUGCUCGUACUAGUGACGGUAUCCAGCCAGAAAGCCACGGCUAACUACGUGCCAGCAGCCGCGGUAAUACGUAGGUGGCAAGCGUUGUCCGGAAUUAUUGGGCGUAAAGCGCGCGCAGGCGGCUUCUUAAGUCUGAUGUGAAAUCUUGCGGCUCAACCGCAAACGGUCAUUGGAAACUGGGAAGCUUGAGUGCAGAAGAGGAGAGUAGAAUUCCACGUGUAGCGGUGAAAUGCGUAGAUAUGUGGAGGAAUACCAGUGGCGAAGGCGGCUCUCUGGUCUGUAACUGACGCUGAGGCGCGAAAGCGUGGGGAGCAAACAGGAUUAGAUACCCUGGUAGUCCACGCCGUAAACGAUGAAUGCUAGGUGUUAGGGGGUCCAACCCUUAGUGCUGAAAUUAACACAUUAAGCAUUCCGCCUGGGGAGUACGACCGCAAGGUUGAAACUCAAAGGAAUUGACGGGGGCCCGCACAAGCAGUGGAGCAUGUGGUUUAAUUCGAAGCAACGCGAAGAAACUUACCAGGUCUUGACAUCCUCUGACAAGCCUAGAGAUAGGCCGUUCCCCUUCGGGGGACAGAGUGACAGGUGGUGCAUGGUUGUCGUCAGCUCGUGUCGUGAGAUGUUGGGUUAAGUCCCGCAACGAGCGCAACCCUUGAUCUUAGUUGCCAGCAUUCAGUUGGGCACUCUAAGGUGACUGCCGGUGACAAACCGGAGGAAGGUGGGGAUGACGUCAAAUCAUCAUGCCCCUUAUGAUCUGGGCUACACACGUGCUACAAUGGGUGGUACAAAGGGCAGCGAAACCGCGAGGUCGAGCUAAUCCCAUAAAGCCACCCCCAGUUCGGAUUGCAGGCUGCAACUCGCCUGCAUGAAGCCGGAAUUGCUAGUAAUCGCGGAUCAGCAUGCCGCGGUGAAUCCGUUCCCGGGCCUUGUACACACCGCCCGUCACACCACGAGAGUUUGUAACACCCGAAGU
rnacentral:rRNA from 1 species